GCUGGGAUAUAUUAGUCAGCAAGUGCACAGUCAGUUCUCGAAGAUGAUGUGUUGGAAUCAGGACAAAUGGGCAAGUGUAAGGAUCUGAGCAACUUUGACAAGGGUCAAACUGUGAUGGCUAGACGACUGGGUCAGAGCAUCUCCAAAACAGCAGGUCUUGUGGGGUGUUCCCAGUAUGCAGUGGCUAGUACCUGCCAAAAUUGGUCCAAGGAAGGACAACCGGUGAACCGGCAGCAGGGUCAUAGGCUCUUUGAUGCGUGUGGGGAGUGAAGGCUAGACCAUCUGGUCUGAUCCCACAGAAGAGCUAAUGUAGCAGAAAUUGCUGAAAAAGUUAAUGUUGGCUAUGAACACACAGUGUAGCCCAUUUCACUGCAUAUGGGGCUGCGUAGCUGCAGAUCAGUCAGAAUGCGCAUGCUGACCCCCGUCCACUGCCAAAAGCACAUACAAUGGACAUGUGAGCAUCAGAACCGGACCAUGGAGCAAUGGAAGAAGGAGGCCUGGUCUGACGAAUCAUGUUUUCUUUUACUUCAUGAGGACGGCUGGGUGCAUGUGCGUCAUGGGGAAGAGAUGGCACCAGGAUGCACUAUGGGUAGAAGGCAAGCUGGCGGAGGCAGUGUGAUGCUCUGGGCAAUGUUCUGCUGGGAAACUUUGGUCCUGGCAACAUGUGGAUGUUACUUUGACACGUACCACCUACCUAAACAUUGCUGCAGACCAAGAACACCCCUUCAUGGCAACAGUAUUCCCUAAUGGCAGUGGUCUCUUUCAGCAGGAUAAUGCGCCCUGCCACACUGCAAAAAUUGUUCAAGAAUGGUUUGAAGAACGUGACAAAGAGUUCAAGGUGUUGACUUGGCCUCCAAAUUCCCCAGAUCUCAAUCCGAUCGAGCAUCCAUGGGAUGUGCUGGACAAACAAGUCUGAUCCAGGGAGGCCCCACCUCAAACUUACAGGACUUAAAGGAUCUGCUGCUAAUGUCUUGGUGCCAGAUACCACAGCACACCUUCAGAGGUCUUGUGGAGUCCAUGCCUCAAGGGGUCAGAGCUGUUUUGGUGGCACAAGGGGGACCUACACAAUAUUAGGCAGGUGGUUUAAUGUUAUGGCUGAUCAGUGUAUAUACGAAUGCAAUUUGUAUGUAUUAAUUUAAAUGUAUUUAUUGUGGACCCCAUGACAUGUAGCACUGUAGCUUGAUCUCUGAUGCAUAUCCUGAAAGUGUAAAGACUCAUUAAUGGGGAAAUAUGCAUGAUUUGUAAACCAUGUUAGAGUCACACCGUUGCUGGUAUGCAAUGAUGUAAUGCUGUGAUUGAAUGUAAUCUUGUUAAUGAUAACUACAUUCCCCACAAUUCUCUGACACAAAGCUACAAGAGGUUUUUUUAAGGAGCGCGCGAGUUUCCGUGUUGCCAGAUUGUGCGAUUUCCAUCCCAAUAUGGCUAUCUGUAAUCUUAUUUGGAUAUAGAAAUGGCACUGAGAUAGGAAAUAAUAUGUGGAAAAGUUAUUAUCUUGCCAAGUGCAUAGUAAAAUGAGAUAGUAUUAAGCACUGAUAAGGUUGGAAACCGACGCUCCAACCUGGCAACAAUGGGUUUGUGGACUUGACAGGAUUUGCCUGCGGCAAGUGUUAACAAGCGCGAGGCGAUAAGCUGCUGAGAGUGCCAGUGAUCCUGCCACCGUGAGCAUGAUGUGCCAUUCUGUGGAGUAGCAGAAUGGCGGUCGAAGCUGUCCACUGCAACCUGAGUCAGAAUGGGAUCGAUCACCAGUUGUGUAUGGCGGAUGCGAGCUCACACGUGGAAGAGGAGUCUAUAGAUCAGGGCCCAGGACUGAAUGAUGACAGCUCGGGCUUUCAGCAGGACAGUCCUGAUUUCCAGCGCUGUACUCCACCACAACGCUCCGUCUCUGAAUCUGAGCUCUCCAAGUCAGGGACAGUGAAACUGUCCAAACCGGUGGCUUUGUGGACUCAGCAGGAUGUGUGUAAGUGGCUGAAGAAGCACUGCCCAAACCAGCACCAAGUCUACAGUGACGCCUUCAAACAGCACGAUAUUACAGGCCGAGCUUUGAUGAGGCUGACAGACAGGAAGCUGGAGAGGAUGGGUAUCAUGCAAGAGAGCCAGAGACAGUACAUCCUGCAACAGGUCCUGCAGCUGCGCGUCAGAGAGGAGGUCCGCACCCUGCAGCUCCUCACACAGGGGUCGCAGGGUAGCCUGGAGCCUGUCCCAGGGGAAUCGGGGCACAAGGCAGGGGACACCCUGGAAGUGAUGCCGGCCCAUCGCAGGGCACAAUCGCACACACAGUUUGGAAAUGCCAUUUAGCCUACAACGCAUGUCUUUGGACUAGGGGAGGAAACCAGAGUACCCGGAGGUAACCCCAGAAGCAUGAGGAGAACAUGCAAACUCCAUGCACACAGAGCGGAGGCGAGGUUUGCACCCCCAAUCCCGGAGGUGUGAGGCAACAGUGCUAAACACUAAGCCACUGCCCCCCCGCCCCCCAACUGCAAAUACUCUUAAUUUGCAAAUGUAUUAAUACAGUUAUUUUUUUCACAGGACAUACAGUUUUUAAUUACAUAUAGUUUAAAUAUUUCUGAUGAACAUUUGUAUCAUAGAUGGAAGACGAUCAUAUGGUAUGAAGCUAUAGUACUAUUACAAUAAUAUUCCAAUAUUCGACUAAGCCGUAUUGAGCAAUAAGCACUACUGUAGAAUGGGAAAUGCUUGUUUACAGUGGAAAAAGGCUGGCUAGACUUCAGAAGGAACUGCAUUCAGGCUUGAAUUUCAGGGCAUGGAGCCUUGUUCGUCAGCCUUGAAUAAGCAGUAUAGUCCAUUAAAAAGACAUCGGCCUGGUUCCACUCUGUCUGCCCCCCACCUCAGCAUCCUGCACAUCGCUGGCACUAAUGCAGACUCUCUGCUCAUACACUCACACUGAGCCCUUUCACACACAGACACACAGUGGGGUCCAAAAGUCUCGCUAGUGAAAAUGUUUCUGCCUAACUUUCUUUUUCAGUGUAACACAGUUUUCAUUGCAAAUGAUAUUCAGCAAUAAUUUGAGCAGUAACUUGAAUUCCAGAAUUUCUUAGUAUUUGGUGCGUCCCCUUUUUGCUUUAAUGACAGUGUGCGCUCGAGCUGACACAGACUUCACAAGUUUGUGUGAAACUUGAUGAUCCAGGUUAGAUCAAAUCCAUCGGUAUAUCAUCUGAAUACGUUCUUCAGUGGAAAGGAUAAGACUCACAGAAUCUGACCUUUUAUACAAAGGAGUUAACAUGGUCAAUAUCACAAAUUUGCUUACAUUUAAAAAGUGACCUAGAAAUUGUGCAACAUCUAAUACAUUGAAUAGUGCACAUCUUUUUUUUUUAGAAUUUUCAAAAGUUUAAAAUUUCUGUUUAUUUCCCAUUUUAAAUUUAAAUUUAAAUAUAUAUAUAUAUAUAUAUCCUUUUAUUAGGCCGAAUGCAGUCUGUCAGUCGGACAUUUGAGAAGUCCUUCACAUUGUUGUAGCAACUAUAGCAAAACAGUGGAAAUGGAGAAGCGGAAUCAGCAGAAUAAGAGUAAGAGCUACAAGCCAAUCGUAACAUAUGAGGAUGGUUUUUCUGGACCAUAGGUAGAAAUAUUGCAACUAGCUUGAACUCCUGGCAAUGUUUUUUUUUUUUCCCUCCACAUUUACUGAUGGGCUUAUGGAUGUUCCACAUGUGCGUUUCAGCAAUGUGGUAUUGUUCAGUUAGUCAGUGAGCAUAAUGUGUCUUGUAGUUCAGCAAAAGGAUGCAGGCAAAAUCUAUGCAUCAGAAAGGAAAAACAAAAUAUCUAUUAGUAAAAAAAAAAGUGGUUAGUACAGUACAUUAAUGUCUACACAUAAACACAACUACCUCUACCAAUGGGCUUCUCCUACUGUGUUGGUAUAAAUGCCACUUGAUCAAAUUAAAAUAUAAUAUAAUGUUCUCUAUCCUGGAAUACAAAUAUUACCCAUUGUCCAUUGCAACAACAGGCUGGACAGAGGAAGCUUUCUAGAUCCAGCUGCUGAGAUCAUGAGGACAGCUUUGAGCAGAACUAGCCAGUGAAAACACUGACUUUGUCUGGACCAGAGGGGAAAAAAUCACAUGCUUCACAUGAGCCAAGUGUAACACCUGGUGAUCCUCCAGCUUUAAACGGAGUGGUAAUUUGAGCAUAUGACCACGCAGAUCAGCUAACAUGCAGCAAAGCUUUUUCAACAAACUUAUUAUGCAGCAUUUUUUCCUUGAAUUUACACUUUCUCAACCAACUGAACACAAUUUUCUCUCUUUUACAGUAGCCUGAUUGUGGCAUUUCAUUACGCCACUGAGUAUCGUUCUCACCGUCAAAGUGCACACACAAGUGUACACAUGUGCUCUCACUCGCUCUCUCUCUCUCUCUCUCUCUCUCUCUCUGUCUCUCUCUCUCUCUCUCUCUCUCUCUCUCUCACACACACACACACAGACACACACACACAAAUACAUCUUUCCUGCCUUCACUCUCUGUCCUGCUAAAUCCUGUAGCGUUUUCAAACACUAAUCAACAAUCCAACAAUCCAUCAUUGGACAAAAUUGGUGCUACUGCACAUUUCAUGUUUAAUUGUCCAAAUGUUCCUUUUCUUUGCUCUGUGGGUGAGCUUGAUGGGAAGUGAUUAUUGUCUGCAAUCUUGGGUUUAUGGAAGCAGAGAGGACAGACCCAAACACCUGUGAUCAUAUGAUCUCCCUACUCAUUUUCUGCAUGGAAAAGUGUCUGUAAUUAGAGAAGAUUAGUCUGGAUUAUGAGGCAGCCAUACUACUGUUUCUGCAGUCCAGAAAAAAGAGACCUUUAUAACAUACAGGACAGCCACAGAUCCAUAUGAAAAACUGUGUUAAUAUGUGUGUCUGUGUAUAUUGUUCUCAGUCAAUGUCCAAUGUGUAGCUGUGCAAUAUUUCGGUUAUAAAUAUUGGCCUUUUCAAUACUGAUAUUGCAGAGGUCUGCUAUAUAUAGAUAAUGAUUUGUGUGCUGUGAUUAUUCCUGACCAACUUUAGACCUUAGGAGAGCCAAAUGCCAUUGUCAUAUCAAAUGAUUUGUAAUAUUUUGGAAUAAAUAUUAUAAUCAUAGCAUAAAACUGUUUUGCAGUCCAAGUACCUAGAUUAAGCCACCAGAAACAAAAAAUCGGAAUCAUUUUAUUCACCAUAUACUUACAUGUAUUAGGAUUUUUUCUUGGUUUUUGAUCACAACAUGAUACAUUCCACACAGUUUAAAACACACACACAGUUUACAACACACAUGACAGACAACACAACACAAUUAUUUGUGCAUCACAGCAACUUACGGACAUCCAACAAAAAGGUGGAUUUGCCCGAAUUUUUGGCACUAGAAAUACGAAAUUGUGCUUUUCGCAUUAAACACAGGUCCAGUACCAAAAAUUCCAGUUGUACUAUUUUUGGUACCUAUUUAACCCUUGUGCUAACAAUGAUAAUAGUACUUGAGACAGGGUUAGCAGCAUUGUUUGUCAGAAAUUUUGAUUGGCUAAACAGAUGGCAAAUCAAGUAUAACAAUGUCAAUCCAAGCAUGUCUUCCGGGUUGAAGUGGUGUUUUUGCAUGCCAAAAUAAUAAUGUAGUUGCUUCUACCCUUACAGCCAGGAGAAAAUGAACCAGAAUUAGAUUCCCCAGGUUCUUUCAGUUCCUGUUUUGAGCCAGUUUGUACUUGAGCCAAUUUAUAUUUUUGGAUAUGCAAUGAAAACCAUUCAGAGAUUUGCAUUGUUGUACACUGUGAUAGAAUUGCACAACUUUCAUGGCCAUUGACAGUUUAUAUGACUUUUGUCUUAAAUAACACUUCUGAAAUAAGCCUUUUAGCCUCUAUUAGCUUGCUGGCCAAAUCUGUAAUAUGUCACAUAUCUAGACUCUUAAUUCUUUUUCUUUCACCUUCUUCUUCACUGAAGAAGUGGAUGUUUAUGCCUAAACACUGUCAAGAUGUCAUUGAGUUUUGCAGCAUUGUGGGUGGGAAGGCGCAGUCGCCCAAGCAGGACUGUUUAUUCAUGUAGUGGAGUUUUGUAGUAAGCCAAUAUUUAUAGAUGAAAGGAUGUUUGACAGGUAUGAUGCAAAUGUGUCAUUAAACUCUUUAAUUCAAACUGUAUCUGUGUGUAAGAGGGGGAAGUGUAUGUUUUUAUAUCUUGGUGGGAGUGGAAUAUGUGACAGUUUUGACCUUGUGUGAACAUUUGACUGGUCUCCAUGAGGAAAACUGUUUUUUUUUUUUUUUUUUUUUUUUUUUUUACAAAAAUUUAAGCUUUUGCUUAUAAAUACAAAAAUCAAUCAAUCAAUCAAUAGAAAAUGUUUCCUUAUGGUUACUGAGGUUAAGGUUGGGGUUAAAGUUUGGUGUAGACAUAGCAUUAAUUAGCUGCAUUAAUAAGUAUUUCAAAGGAACGUCCUCACAAGAAUACUGAGACAAAUGUGUGUGUGUCUGUGUGUGUCUGUGUGUGUAUGCAUGUGUGCUGUAUGUACAGUGUGCAUGUGCACGUAAGUGUGUGCUGCAGGCUUAGUUUGCCCUCUAUUACAAAUUACAUUCUUCACAGAGAUAUUUAUUGUCUUUAGGACUCUAACAUUGAGUUUGAUUGCAACAUUAGGUAAGAUUAAAGCUAGUUCACUGAAGGCUAGUUCUGGCUGAUUGAUUUUUCCCAAAGUCUUUGAUUUAGCAAGCUGUAUUAACUUGCAUCAAGGUCAACAAGGUUCGAUAUGUUGUGCAUUCUGAGAUGCUUUUCUGCUCACCGCAGCUGUAAAGAGUGGUUAUUUGAGGUAUCGUAGCCUUUCUGUCAGCUCGACCCAGUCUGGCUGUUCUCCUCUGACCUUUCUCAUCAACAAGGCGUUUCUUCCCUCAGAACUGCUGCUCACUGGAAGGUUUUUUUGUUUUUCGCACUAUUUUAUGUAAACUCUAGUGACUCUAUGGUCUGCAUAAAAAUCCCAGCAUUUGCUGAAAUACUCAAACUAGCUUGUCUGGCACCAUGCCAUAAUCAAAGUCACAGAGAUCACAUUUUUCCCCAUUCUGAUGUUUGAUGUGAACAUUAACUGAAGCUCUUGACCUGUAUCUGCAUGAUUUUAUGCAUUGCGCUGCUGCCACAUGAUUGGCUGACUGGAUAAUUGCAUGAAUGACCAGGGGUAAAGGUUUUCAUAUUAAAGUGGAUGGUGACUGUAUAUAUUGGGUAUAUGAGACUUAUUUUUCAAAAUAGUUUACACCUUUUUAGAAUAAAUCAUUAAAAUUCCCAGUUCCACCUCAAUUGUGUGUGCGUUGAAUUAUAUUUUCCAGUACACACUCUGGUUUUGCACUCCAGACUGCACGCAUAUCUGAGCUGGUUCUUCAGCAGAGUGAGAGAAGAGGAGCAGAAGGAGCAGACCGCCAUCACCUGCUCUAACACAGGUCCAGACGGCAGAACCCAGAUGGUGCUCUGUCACAGCCACUGACAUCCCAAUAAACCACUGAUUGAUGGCUCACUACCUCACCCCCGAGCGCGGUCAGCAGAUGACCCCCUUGUCCUAUCCCAUGUUUGUGUAGCAGUUCCUUUUAUUAUCCGGCAUGUGAUUUGUUAUCUCAUUUGCGAGAACGCCACUGGGGCAGCCAUUUUGGUUGCGGACUGCACUGCACUGCGCUGUGCUGUUUUUGCUUUAUGAGGCUAGUUAAUCUCAGGAGUUGUUAAGCAGUCAUGUUCCUGAAAGAGAAGCAUGACAGUUUGUCUAGUAGACAAAGGUAGAGAGCAGUUGUGCCCUGAUGUGCUGUCGCUGGCUUACAUGUCUGUCAGGCUGUUAGGAAUGAAUCACACGUUUAACAGCACUACCACUGGCUUGCUUUCUGACUCUAGUGGAAAUGUGACUAAAACCUUUAAUAUAUCCAUCUUAGUAAAUAUACUGAAGCCAAUCUGACAGAAAUUUCUAUACAAAUUGAACACGCUGGGUCAUUUCAUCAUCUGUUAUGGAAAAAUAUUCAGCAUAUAAACCUUUGACUCAGAUUACGUUCACAGUCUGAAUAUUUGCUGCUAUUAAGUGCAAGUGUGGUAAAAGAUAUUGUGAGGAUAUGUGGUGGAAUGGGCAUCCGAAUAAUAUUCCAAAUCAUACUUCGUGAAUACUGAAUAAUUGCCUUCUGUUCAAUAGCUAUGUCUGGAGCACAUUUUUUGAGGCAGACAGUAUUUGAGAAAGAAGCAAUGCAACUGAAAACCGAAUCUUGCAUGUGUAUAAAUUUGGUUCGGAUUACAAGUACACAUGAGCAGACUUUAUGGAAUGCUGUAUAGAAUACAUAAUAUAAACAGCUAAAUUGGCAUUUGCAACAGCAAUCAAUUCACUUGGAUUGCAGGUAAAGAUGUGCAUCCCUGCUUUUUUCUUGGAUUUUUCUGUCACUUAUGCUGUGCUUUACAGUUGUUGCAGGGGCAUUCCUACAGUAAAUUAACUUUUAGAUUGUUCCUAGAAGAAUUCCUAAAAAUUCCAGGAAUUUAUAAGAAUUGAAAAUAUUAUAAUUAUAUAAUAAAAAUAUAUUCUAAUACCAGUUCUGUUUAAAACAAUGAGGUCUUUUUUAUACAAUCUGUUUUAUUCAGUGAGGUCCAAAAGUCUGAGACCACAUUGAAUAUCUGGGGUUUUUUUCUAUUUAAAAUUGGAAAUAAACAGAAGAUUUUAGAAUUUUGAAAAAUUUAAAAUAAAGAAAGUAAAUAUUUAAUAUUCAAGAUGUUGCACUAUUUCUAGGUCCCUAUUUAACUGUAAGCAAAUUUGUGAUAUUGACCAUGUUAACUGCUUUGUACAAAAGGUCAGAUUUUCCUCAAGGCUAAUCUCUUCUGUUGAAGCGCUCAGACAGCGCCCUGAUGGAUUUGAUCUAAAAUGGAUCAUAAGGUUUCGGCAGACUUGUGGAGUCCGUGCCAGCUCGAGUGCACACUGUCAUUAAAGCAAACAAGAGGACGUACCAAAUACUAAGAAACACUGAAAUUCAAGUAAAUAUUUCAAUGAUUCUACUUUUCACUCAAGUUGUUGUCAAUAAUAUAAUUUGUAAUGAAAAAUAUUGUAUUAUAUUAGAAGGGAAUGAAAAUAGAAGCAUUUUCACUAGUGCACUAGAACAUGCCAAUUUAGCACAGCUUCCAAUUUAAAAAAAAAAAAAGGUAAUACAUUCUGGGAAUACAUAUAAUUAUGAUUUUUGUUGUAAAUGAGAUGCUAUGCAUGAAGGUCCUUGAAGGCAUAAGUGUUUACACACCUGUACACUAAAUACACUUGCUUUUUGUUUAUUAGCACAUUUCUUUUUUUUUAACAUUUUCUGUUUACAUGUGGGUUGUGGGAUGUGCUAUGUGUAUAUAACAAGCUUUUUUAACAGUUAGUGUGUGAUGUUCUUUCUCAGUUUCUGUGCACAUUCUGUAAAACGAAACCGUCCAGAUGUCACAUCACAUGACCGAUGGUGAGAAGUCUCAGGAAUUACUUUACAGGCGCAUGGCACAGAGAGGCCAUUCAGGAAGUAGACAGGUGCAAUGAAAUCAUUCCUGCACCUUUUUUUUUUAACAGGCCAGUGUCAUUUUGUACUUUAGUUUUACAACAAAAGCUGUUUAGGCUGCUUUUGGAAACGACGUGCUGACUUGAAAUUGAGCAUUGUCGGUGCAGUCCCUUGAGCAAGUGCUCCUCCAUAGGUGGCUGGCACACGGGCGUGCUGGGAGACCGCAGGCUAAUCUGGAGGGCUGAAACACUUGCACAGUUUCCACCAGACGUCCACUAACCACAGAAUUUCUCUGGUGCCUUGAUUUUGCAUGGUCUAUCUGACCACUUGCGUAUGUGAGGAUUUCAUUACUGCCAUCAUUUUAUGCUUAAUUAUGGAUACUGAUGAGGGGAAAGUGUAGUGUGUGUGUGUGUGUUCUGUAAUCUGGAUGUGGGAAGGAGGAGGCGUGCUGUCUGCCUGGCACACAGGCUAUUUGUAAUUAAGCUGCGUGAUUAAGUAGAGUCAUGGCGGGCAUUUCGGCAUCCUGACAAAUCAAAUCUAACCACCUGCACCACGCCUGCUCCUCCUUCCCACAACCCCCCUCUCUUAAUGCAGGUCAGCAGCGUGUCCUCUAGCUAUUAACAACAAAGCAGCUCUAGCAAAUCACUUGCGGAGAGAACUCUGCCUGUAGGUAUUUACUCCAUGCAUUCACAUAAUUACACUGCCUGCGUGUAGAUGUGUAAGCUACUUUGUAGAUGUAUAUGGUACAUUUGGACUCUCCUCUACUCUGUGGUUUAUCAUAAUGGUGCCAUUUAUAGUAAUUUGUUCUGCUCGGGAUGAUGAUUCAUAACACAGAAAUCUGAAUGUGAAGUGAAUGUAGCUAUCACCCUCGCUUUUGCCCUUGUAACCGUUCACUCUCCCAUGCAGUCUUUUUCUCUCACACCCACUCUGACUCAUCACAUCUUGGAAAUCUGCGUCUGUCUGGGGAAAAAAACUAUUUGGCAAGUUUUAUUGUAAGGCAAAGAUCUUCAAAUUAGCAGGACUUCGUUUUCUGACCUCGCUACAGCUGUCAUGCCCCUUAUGUCAAGCAUGUAUCUGGGUGGUCUUGGAGAAUUUGUCUUUUGGAGUAUUCCUACACCUUCUUAAAAGUUAGAUAAUGGUAUCAGAUGGCAACAUCGACCAGUUCCCACCAUAGCAGUGGUUCACGCCUCCUUGGAGAGCUCUCCAUAACCUGAGCAGUCCCAGAGACGCACCAGCCACCACGUGACCCUCCGAGCGUCUUCUCAAAUGUCGGCAGUACACACCAGCCUUCCAGCCCAAACUGAGUCGCCUCAAGCCCUGGAUCAAACCCUUGUGUCUUAGGACCCUUAUCUUUCCCUUUUUCUUUUUCCCUCUCCCCUGCCCAUACACCCUCCCCACCCCACCCCCUCCAAAUACCAGCCCUUAAGACAUUUAUUCUUCUUCUUCCUGUGCCAAGUGGAACGUCUCUGACUUGGACCACAGAUAUUCUUCCUGCUAAAAGGACAAUUGGCAUUGAGAGACUAAUUGGCCAAUUAGCCCACUCACUGUAUGUCAUCUUACCAAGUGUAGCACUUUACCUUUCCUGUAGAGAGUCUGUUAGCUAAGCUCUUCAGACUAGCAUAAUGUUCAGGCACACACAGUAGAUCUUCUAGUUGCUGCAGUAGGGCUACUGGUCACUUUUUUUCUACUUCUGCAUCUUUUUUCUUACUCUAUAUCUGUUUUUUGUGAUUUCGCCUCUCUACCCUAUAGAAGGACUGCGUAGAGACAUUUUGCACAUCUGUAUAUUAUCUGUGCCUCAUGUUUAUUCCUCUGAGUCUGUUGUAUCUUUCUGUUAUGUGAACUGUAUGUUGUGGGCUUGUCCUUUCUUUGAUCUGUUUUUCUGUCUGUCCCCUGUGUUCGAGUUCCCUCAGUUUUCCUGUACUGCAAACCCUUCCACUCGUCCUUCCCUUAAUCUGAACUACACUGUGACUCUGACCAGCUGUCUUAACGUGGCAGACGCCACCUCAUCUACUCUCCUACACUCUCACCCCUUCAAAUGAAGGCAACCACCAUGCUUUCCAGGAUAAAAAAAAAAUUACAAUAUAAAUAAGGAGAAAGGUCAGUCAUUGCAAGUCAGGCAUAACACUAUUCCCAUUUAUUAAUGGACAGCACAUGAGCACAUGGUGUCUGUUCAGUGUCUGAUCUGAGAGCAAUGAGAGGACUUAGUGCUGAAUCCAGUGAGGUGGGAAAAUGGCCAGUAUGUUUUCUCACAGGAGAAAGAGAAAAAGAAAUCUGGAUGAUGGAUAUAAUGGAUGAUGUCCUCUCCUGAAGACUGGCUUCUCUUCUCUAGCUUGUCAUGCCCCUGGAGGAAUAACAUAAAUUAAAAAAAAAAAAAAAGAAGAAGAAAUCUAGCUAUGAAACAGCACUAUUAAAGCAUAACAAAAAUGUAACAAAGCAGGAGAACUGUGUCUGAGAAAACGGGAUGUGCGAAGCCUGUCAAAUGGAAGUCAUGAAUUUGUUAUUCACUGUCUGCAGACGUUUUCUGAGGCAUCGCUGUGGUGUGAUAUGGCCGUACACUGUUACCUUUAUUACUAUGAAGCACAGAACUGCUUAACUGAAUGAACAUUGCUUAGUCAUUGUUAUUUAUCUUAAACCUUAAUUCAUCAGAAAAGUCCAUGAUACACUAUAUCAGCUAAAAAAAAAAAAAAAAAACUAACCAUACUUUUGUAACUGUAGCAUGACAUACAUGACUAGCCUUCCAAAUAUUUUAACCAGAAAUUGUGUGUUGGAGUCAGUGUAAAAGAUCAGUUCUAGGUUGGUGAAAUUAAAGGCUACAUAAAGUCAAUUCAUGAUUUAAAAAUGGAAAGUUGUAGCAGAUAGAAUGGUAUUGAUUAGACUGUAUGUAUUAGCUAACCACUAGAACAGUGGUGUUGUUGAGAAUUACAUAGGAAAAGGCAUGUUUCAGUUAAACUACUCACCACCAUUUCAUGGCUGGAUGAAGCCACUAUCUGGUACACAGGAGAGCACUUUUAGAAAUGGCUUUUGUGAUCAUUGAAAUGUUGUGUAGUAAUAGAAUAGAGAGUGAGACAUAUAAUUAAUCUUUCAUCUGCUAGACUAUCUUGGAGUGUGUCAGUAUGGGAGCCGGCUCAAUGAAAGUUGCAUGGUUCGUGACGUAUAAGCGCAGUAUUAAAGGGAAAUAGACGGGUAAUAUUUAUUUACAUAUCAUUUGCCUCUACUGUGAGACGAGCACUGAAAACUGACAUUAUAUACUAUAAACUAUCGAUUUUAA